GACGAACGCUGGCGGCGUGCUUAACACAUGCAAGUCGAACGAAGUGGCGAGGGGGUGAGUAAUACGUGGGUCACCCGCCCUCCGUGUUGGGAUAAGCCUAGGAAACGGGGUCUAAUACCGAAGAAAGGGGGAUGGGCUCGCGGCCUAUGAGCUUGUUGGUGGGGUAAUGGCCGACCAAGGCGGCGACGGGUAGCCGGCCUGAGAGGGUGACCGGGAACGUGGGGACGGCGAGACGCCCCAGGGUGCUAGGGGGGGCAGAAGUGGGGGAUAGUGCACAAGGCGCGAAAGCCUGAGGCAGCGAGGCCGCGUGGGGGAUGAGGGCGUUCGGGUUUUAAACCUGUUUCGCUAUCGAACGGGUAGGUGGAGAAGAAGCGCCGGCUAACUACGUGCCAGCAGCCGCGGUAAUUC
rnacentral:rRNA from 1 species